rnacentral:lncRNA from 1 species
GCACCUGUCGUGAACACUCAGGGCUGGGCCAGUGGGCGCCUGGAGGAUGAGGUCCCUCCCACCUGGCCCCUCCCAGCCUCAGUUCUCAGGACACAGCCCAGCCGGCAGCUGCCAGAGUCACUGCCUAAAGGAGGUUUUGACCGAGGAGCAGCAGAGCCCUCUGAGGGCCCCUGUGAAUGCCUCGCGCAGAUCCGGGGCCCAGAGAACAUUCCAGAGAUGCUUGUGGAGUGGAGCAGCUUUAAUAAGACACAUUCUUGCUUCUCUGUUGGCUUCUUACCUGUGUCCUCGGGAUGGCUGCCAAGGUGCUACCAACCUGCUGCAUCCCUGGCUGAGGCUCAGAGCCUCCUGGGCUGGUGCCUUCCUGGGCACAGGAUCCCCAGCAAGUCCAGGAAUCUGACCUGAGGUCACCAAUCAUGCCCAGGGAAACCAGCCAGCCCCCAAAGCCUCCAAAACCCAAGUGGGCUUGGUUCUGUUGGCAGGUGACCCAGCUGGAAUCAAACAAGAAAGAAAAGUGUGUUUAGAUCAUCAGGUGACUCACCAAAUAGAACUUUCUUGAAAACUGUUUAAUAAUCAAGACCAGGAAAAGAUUAUGGAAUAUUCUAGCAAAGUCCAAGUACUUGGAUUUUAAAAUCAACAUUUAUCUUACUGCUCUUAUAUUACAAAGUUCCGCCCUCACCUCCAGUCUCAACGUUUGCACAAAGCAUUUCAGCAGCACAUGCAAUGGCGUUAUGGUUGGCUUUUCCCUCUCGCUCCUCCGCACAGCACUGAAGAAGGACAGGAGCAGUUUUCUUUGUUUCUUGCAUGAAUUUACUACUGAGGCUCGUCAGAGAGAGGCUGCCUGUGGGAGUGAUGCAUGGCCUCUGCUUCCACGGAGAAAAGCCACACGGUGGUGGCCAGGGGUGGGAUGCGCCCGUGGACAUGGAGGACAGAUGUGUUCUGAGAAGCUGCCUGUUUCUUUUGUUUGUUUUUGAGAUGGACUUUCACUUUUGUUGCCCAGGCUGGAGUGCAAUGGCGCGAUCUCAGCUCACGCCAACCUCCACCUCCCGGGUUCAAGUGAUUCUCCUGCCUCAGUCUCCCAAGUAGCUGAGAUUACAGGUGCCUGUCACCAUGCCCAGCUGAUUUUUGUAUUUUUAGUAGAGAUGGGGUUUCACCAUGUUGGCCAGGAUGGUCUCAAUCUCUUGACCUCGUGAUCCACCCGCCUUGGCCUCCCAAAGUGCUGGGAUGACAGGCAUGAGCCACCGUGCCCAGCCGAGGUGGCUUCUUUACAACAGACUAUCCAGGGGACCACAGUCACCCUCCCCUCACUCCCAGCCCACCCUUCCUGCUCAUUUGCUUUGUCCACCUACUCAGCUCCGUGGCCCAUUGGUGGCCUCCAUCCUUCUGAAGGACCAAGAAGCCACUGCCAUGUGGAAGCACCUCCACGUGCCCUGGUCAGGUCUGUCACCAGUGCUGUGUGAGGAUCAGAACACCCUCGACCACACUGGCUCAUCAUCCAAAUUGUAAUCAUGGACUUAGAGGCUGUCCUUUUAAAAAUAACUUUUGGUAUUGUUUGCUUAUUUCAAAGUAAACAAAUUCAUUAUCAAACAUUUAGAAAACAGGCAAGCAAAUAAGAGGAAAGAACAUCACCAGUCACACAUUCUCCAGAGAGUGCAAAAAGCAAGGUCUCUGUAUCUUACUCUCAAGUAGGAAGAAUGGUUGCAGGAGAGGAAGGAAGGAGAGAGGGCCUGGGCGCUGUACCCGGCUGUGGCCAGCUCUGUCCUGAACCCUCCUGGGGUCUGUCCUGAACCCUCCUGGGCUCUGUCCUGAACCCUUCUGGGGUCUGUCCUGAACCCUCCUGGGGUCUGUCCUGAACCCUCCUGGGCUCUGUCCUGAACACUCCUGGGCUCUGUCCUGAACACUCCUGGGGUCUGUCCUGAACCCUCCUGGGGUGGGAUUUCCAUAAGGUGGGCAUUAUUAUCUUCCCUGGGCUGGGCCAGAGCCUGGUUGGGGCCUGGGGCCCCAUCCUGAGUCCAGAGUCUGUGACUCCUCCAUAGGCCCCAGGGCCUGUGCAGUGACAGUCCCUGAGCAGCAAAAGAGCAAAUGAGUGCUGGGAAUUGUGGGUCCCUUCCCUAAAAAGGCAGAGGUGGUGAUCCCGCCCAGCCCAGGGUCUUCAAAACUGCAGGUACAUCCUUGCUGUUCUGUCAAACACAUCUGCAGAUAACUUGAGUCCAUCUAGGGUGGGUUUCCAGGCAGCUGGGGACCAAGUGAGGGGGUGGAGGCGGCCACGUGAGACCCCAGGAAGCAGAGCCCCCACCACCCCAGGAGAUUUCUUCAUCCACAGUGGCAAGGGUGGGGGCUGCCCUAAGAUGUCAGCAAAGACCACCAUUGGGGAAGGUCUUGGACAUGACUCUGAGUGGUCCCAUGGGGAAAGGGGACUGGUGUCUCCUGGAGGGAGAUGCUGGAAGAAGGCCAGAGAGGAAGGAUGGCCAGAAGUCCCCAUUUCCAUAGCCCAAACCUGUGGAAACACUGCCCCUGGGCAGCUCUGUGCCCCUGGCGACCUCCUGGUAUGAUGCAGCUUAGAAAGAAGCUGCCUGUCUCUCCAUUGCCAGCCUUUUCUGGAAGUCUGGGUGCCUUCAGGUUUGGGGAUACUGAAACAUCCUCCCAAUAUCCCAGGGCUCCUGGCCUUUGAACACCCGCGAGGGGCGGGGCAGCCACACACUUGGGGGUCACGUUCCCUGGGACUCUCCCCUCUUGGCUUCCCCCCAUCACCCAGGGCCAGGGAGGCCGGGGCAGGUGCAGACCCAAUCCUGGCAGUUGGCAGCGGUUUCCAGGCGCCUGCGUGACCCUGUCUGUAGCCUACAGGAGCAGGUGCUGCCUGUGAUGGGGGCCCUGGGCUCCAGCAGAUGUAGGAAGGUAUGAGAGUGCAGCCACCCUCCUACACCCUCUCUCCCUAAGGCCUCCAUAGUAGAUUUAGGGUUCAUGCUACUGGGUGAGAUGGAGUUGAGGGAGGGCCCGCAGUUCUAAAGAUCUGGGUCACACUUGGGCUAUAGGGCCCUGUUAGCCAUGAACUCCUUCAUCAAAUAAACCAAAUGUGGAAGACGCAUACCUGGGGCCCUGGUGCUUGAUUUUGUUUUCUGCUCUCAUCUCUCAUCACCCUACAAAAUGCAUCUCCAUAAAAAGACAUUAAACAGCCCCGCACGGUGGCUCACGUCUGUAAUCCCAGCACUUUGGGAGGCCAAGGCAGGUGGCUCACCGGAGGUCAGGAGUUCGAGACCAGCCUGGCCAACAUGGUGAAACCCCG